AAAUAUUGGGACAUAUAAAAAAAGACAACUCUGUUCCGCAGAGUAGCUAUUGACAUUAUAGUUGCGCAGGAACUUUGUUGACCCUAGAGAACCUCGGGCAAAUCGCACAUCCUUGUGCAUGCGGAUGUCAUCCAUAUCAACUUUCGAUGCCAGUUUCUGAGACUACCAUGGUGACCACGGGUAACGGGGAAUCAGGGUUCCAUUCCGUACAGGGACCCUGAGAAACGGCUACCACAUGCAAGGAAGGCAGCAGGCGCGCAAAUGACCCACUCCCGACGCGGGAAGGUAGUGAU